GGACAAGUAAUUUAAUCUUAAAAUAUAACACUGAAAAUGUUAAAACGGUAUUAACCCUUUUCCACCA
rnacentral:tRNA from 1 species